rnacentral:rRNA from 1 species
UACGCAGGGGGCUAUCGUUGUUCGGAGUUAAUGGGCGUAAAGCGCGUGUAGGCGGGCCGUUAAGUCGGGGGUGAAAGCCCAGAGCUCAAAUCUGGAAUUGCCUUCGAUACUGGCGGCCUGGAGCAUGAUAGAGGCGAGUGGACAUGUGAGGGUAGAGGUGAAAUUCGUAGAUAUUCGCAGGAACACCAGUGGCGAAGGCGACUCGCUGGUUCAUUGCUGACGCUGGGACGCGAAAUCGUGGGGAGCAAACAGG